UACGAAGGUGGCUAGCGUUGUUCGGAAUCACUGGGCGUAAAGGGCGCGUAGGCGGCCGAUCAAGUCGGGGGUGAAAGCCUGUGGCUCAACCACAGAAUUGCCUUCGAUACUGUUUGACUUGAGACCGGAAGAGGUUAGUGGAACUGCGAGUGUAGAGGUGAAAUUCGUAGAUAUUCGCAAGAACACCAGUGGCGAAGGCGGCUGACUGGUCCGGUUCUGACGCUGAGGCGCGAAAGCGUGGGGAGCAAACAGG
rnacentral:rRNA from 1 species